rnacentral:rRNA from 1 species
GAUGAACGCUGGCGGCGUGCCUAAUACAUGCAAGUCGAGCGAACAGACGAGGAGCUUGCUCCUCUGACGUUAGCGGCGGACGGGUGAGUAACACGUGGAUAACCUACCUAUAAGACUGGGAUAACUUCGGGAAACCGGAGCUAAUACCGGAUAAUAUAUUGAACCGCAUGGUUCAAUAGUGAAAGACGGUUUUGCUGUCACUUAUAGAUGGAUCCGCGCCGCAUUAGCUAGUUGGUAAGGUAACGGCUUACCAAGGCGACGAUGCGUAGCCGACCUGAGAGGGUGAUCGGCCACACUGGAACUGAGGCACGGUCCAGACUCCUACGGGAGGCAGCAGUAGGGAAUCUUCCGCAAUGGGCGAAAGCCUGACGGAGCAACGCCGAGUGAGUGAUGAAGGUCUUCGGAUCGUAAAACUCUGUUAUUAGGGAAGAACAAAUGUGUAAGUAACUAUGCACGUCUUGACGGUACCUAAUCAGAAAGCCACGGCUAACUACGUG